GACCCAGUGGCGGACGGUCCGCGUCUGCCUUCGUUAAAUGUACCCAUAUUGUGGUUCAACAGCAGAAGGCGCCCGUUCGACUCGGGCCUGGGUCA